UAACUGAAGAGUUUGAUCAUGGCUCAGAUUGAACGCUGGCGGCAGGCUUAACACAUGCAAGUCGAGCGGGGGAAGGUAGCUUGCUACCGGACCUAGCGGCGGACGGGUGAGUAAUGCUUAGGAAUCUGCCUAUUA
rnacentral:rRNA from 1 species